CGCUUUGAUCCAGAGAGAAAUAUCUCAACUAUUAUCGAAUGGAUUGCCGUGAAAUUUGGUACAGACAUCCAUGUCUCAGGAUGAACUGCAAUAACUUUGCUGAUCCCUUAACUUUUAAUCUAGCGCCAACAUCAGUUUGAAAUUUGCCCACGACUCCCAACCUUCCAGCAUCCCUUCACAUCAGCCUCAGCUGUACUUUGUAUUCGCUGCUUGUUAGCAAAUGUUAGCAUGUUAACUUUUUUUUUUUUAUUAUUAUUCUUCUUUCACUUUCGCCAGCACAUUCUGAUUGUGCGAUCAAUCAAAUGAAUUGUCACAGAUCGGACGUUAUAUAAUACGUGGAGAUAUUCCAACAGAACCCAAUCUAGUGUUUAUUUAGCCUUGAAUAGAGAAUUUUGGUUAAGUUCAGUGGAAAAUUUUGGUCAUGAUUUUGCAUACCUAAAUGGCAAAAAAAAACGGCCAAACAGCUACUGCACAUCAACCAGAUAACCACAUUUUGUGUUCUUUAUGUGUGUGUUUGCCAUGAAACCAGUUUUCUGUCUCUCUUUCUGCAUUUAUUGGGCACUUUCUAUCCUUGAUGGAUGGUGUGGAUUAGUGUCUGACAUGGCGUCUGACCGCAGACUGGCAUUUUACUGGGCAGCACCAAACAGCUCGUAACCCCGCUGCUCCACUCUCGUCUGUAAAACGUCUCUUGUGUGUCCUCGGGCUCAGAUCUCCUGCUGACAGUCACACUGUUCGGUGCCAACGAGGCUGUGCACACAUCUCGAGACUAUUAGUCAGCACUACACGGGGGGGCGCAAAGCGUGUGUGUGUCCGUUUCCCACAAACAUGAGGCACACAAGCAUAUAACAUUGCCGUCUCUUUAGCUGUGUGAGACACACACUGCUGUUAAUCAGGGGCUUAUAAAUAACACAUGUAGCACCAGUUUCCCAUGAUGACACAACGCCGUUAGCUAGAAAGCACAGUUCAUUAGGUCAACAUGUGUUUGUCGAAGAGUGUGUGUAGCGUCAGAGCACGUGCAAGACUUCUGAGGCAACAAUCUGUCUAAAGUAGAAAGAAGAAGCUGUCAUACUGUCACAACAGGAGCCAGACGGUAUGCAAACCAGACCCCAAACCAGGAAGCUGAUGUUGGCGUUGAAAGCUUCACCGCCAUGUACGUGCGGACUGAAUGACACUGGCAGAGACAACAACAACUUCCACUCGCUCUUUUUCUCUCCUCAGCUCACUGCAAAUGUUCUUCCCUCAACGGCAUCAAAACAACAUUCACCAUCUGAGUUUUAUCUGACGCAUUUUCACGCAAACAAACUAAUUCUUAACAGGUCGGGAGGAUACGUAAGGCAUUGCAAAAGUGACAAGAUUAGAUAUAUUAAGAAAUAGUCAGCACGCAUACUAAUACUGUGUGUGUGCUUGCAAAACGAAGGAGCUGCUCACAGCUGGAAAAAAUUUAAAGUAUAUUGCACAACAUUGGUGAGACAGCUCCAGGUAGAUCUCGGAAAACAUUAAAAAAAAAAAAAAAAAGUAUUAAAUAUUUGGAAAAACAACAAUAAUUGUCAAGUUCAAGUGGAAGAGACAUUCCAAAGUGGCGUUUUUAUACGAUUUCCUGUAAAGUAUGUCGAUUUCUUGUAUACUCACUGCAAAAACAGCCUAUAAAGAUUUAAUUAUAGCGAUUAGCUUAUAUUUUAUACAAUUAGUAUGUACUGAGGUAUUGGUUGUUAAACUGCUAUUGAAACACAGCAUUCCUCUUUUAUGCUGUAAAGAUUUCCCUCUAAAAUCAGGCUUAUAUAUACACAAGUCUUGAUAUUGCACCUGUUUACGCUAAUUGAACAAAUGUGUUAUUUUUCGUCUUGUUUUUACUUGCUGAUAUUUUUAAUGUUUCCCAGAAAAAACAAAAAUGAGAAUCAAAGAGCAGCAAUAAUCAUAAUAGACUAAUAAACAGUAGAUGCAAAUACAGAUAAGUGGGAUUGUUAUUUUACAUCAUUGCAUCAUUUUCUAUAAUUUUCGUGAUGUCAUUGGUAAGAAUAAUAUGUCAGUUAUGACCACUUAAGCGUGCAAAAUAUACAGUAUAUCGCUAUUAAAGCUCCACUUUUUGAAUUAAUUUAGUUUCACACUUACUUAAAGUCUCACAGAGCCACAAAAGUAAAAUUAUAAACUUAAGAAAACACAAAAAGACAUGAGAACAUGUAAAUAAUUAGUCAGUGAGGAUACAGACUGUAACUGCGGUUUGUUAUUACUGCCGUUGCUACUCGUAUGAAGGAAGAAAACAAGACUCGUGUCCUCUUUCUCCUCUUUCACCUGCCGUUCAGCUCACAGUGGUUUGUGUUUUGGAGGAAGUUAUUCUGGUUUGUUAUACAAUGACUUCCUGUUUCUAUAGUUAGCUGUUCCUUGUCUGCUAGAACACACUAUCAAACCUGAGCAUCACACAUACACACACACACACACAGACACAAACACACACAUACACAAAGUGAUCUGAUUAAAAAAGGCAUAAAGAUGAACAGAUAGUGUGUGGUGGUGAGUGUGUGAGAGAAACACUGAUAAUAGAGGAGAUACUUUUGCUGGUGUGUGUGUGUGUUUGUGUGUGUGUGUGUGUGUGUGUGUGUAUGUAUGUAUGUGUGUGUGGUCCUCCACUGACCUCUCAUAA